GGGGCAGAGACUCAACUAACCCCCUGGUUCUCGCGGUGAAACUAUGGCGGACUUUGAAUCCGCCAUUCGGAGGUUUGAAUCCUCCCGCCCCA
rnacentral:tRNA from 1 species